AGAGUUUGAUCCUGGCUCAGGAUGAACGCUGGCGGCGUGCCUAAUACAUGCAAGUCGAACGCGGGCACUUGUGCCCGAGUGGCGAACGGGUGAGUAAUACAUAAGUAACCUGGCCUUUACAGGGGGAUAACUGCUGGAAACGGCAGCUAAGACCGCAUAGGUAGGGACACUGCAUGGUGACCGUAUUAAAAGUGCUGCAAGGCACUGGUAGAGGAUGGACUUAUGGCGCAUUAGCUGGUUGGUGAGGUAACGGCUCACCAAGGCGACGAUGCGUAGCCGACCUGAGUGGGUGACCGGCCACACUGGGACUGAGACACGGCCCAGACUCCUACGGGAGGCAGCAGUAGGGAAUUUUCGGCAAUGGGGGGAACCCUGACCGAGCAACGCCGCGUGAAGGAAGAAGGAAUUCGUUCUGUAAACUUCUGUUAUAAAGGAAGAAAGACGGAUGGAGGAAAUGACAUCCGAGUGACGGUACUUUAUGAGAAAGCCACGGCUAACUACGUGCCAGCAGCCGCGGUAAUACGUAGGUGGCAAGCGUUAUCCGGAAUUAUUGGGCGUAAAGAGGGAGCAGGCGGCAGCAAAGGUCUGUGGUGAAAGACUGAAGCUUAACUUCAGUAAGCCAUAGAAACCGGGCAGCUAGAGAGCAGGAGAGGAUCGUGGAAUUCCAUGUGUAGCGGUGAAAUGCGUAGAUAUAUGGAGGAACACCAGUGGCGAAGGCGACGAUCUGGCCUGCAACUGACGCUCAGUCCCGAAAGCGUGGGGAGCAAAUAGGAUUAGAUACCCUAGUAGUCCACGCCGUAAACGAUGAGUACUAAGUGUUGGAAGUCAAAUUUCAGUGCUGCAGUUAACGCAGUAAGUACUCCGCCUGAGUAGUACGUUCGCAAGAAUGAAACUCAAAGGAAUUGACGGGGGCCCGCACAAGCGGUGGAGCAUGUGGUUUAAUUCGAAGCAACGCGAAGAACCUUACCAGGUCUUGACAUACUCAUAAAGGAUCCAGAGAUGGAUAGAUAGUUAUAUGAGAUACAGGUGGUGCAUGGUUGUCGUCAGCUCGUGUCGUGAGAUGUUGGGUUAAGUCCCGCAACGAGCGCAACCCUUGUCGUUAGUUACCAUCAUUAAGUUGGGGACUCUAGCGAGACUGCCAGUGACAAGCUGGAGGAAGGCGGGGAUGACGUCAAAUCAUCAUGCCCCUUAUGACCUGGGCUACACACGUGCUACAAUGGAUGGUGCAGAGGGAAGCGAAGCCGCGAGGCGAAGCAAAACCCAUAAAACCAUUCUCAGUUCGGAUUGUAGUCUGCAACUCGACUACAUGAAGUUGGAAUCGCUAGUAAUCGCGAAUCAGCAUGUCGCGGUGAAUAAGUUCUCGGGCCUUGCACUCACCGCCCGUCA
rnacentral:rRNA from 1 species